UACGGAGGGUGCGAGCGUUGUCCGGAAUCAUUGGGCGUAAAGAGCGCGUAGGCGGUCCGGUAAGUCCGCUCUGAAAGUCCGGGGCUCAACCCCGGGAGGCGGGCGGAUACUGUCGGGCUAGAGUCCGGAAGAGGCGAGUGGAAUUCCUGGUGUAGCGGUGAAAUGCGCAGAUAUCAGGAGGAACACCAAUGGCGAAGGCAGCUCGCUGGGACGGUACUGACGCUGAGGCGCGAAAGCGUGGGGAGCAAACAGG
rnacentral:rRNA from 1 species